rnacentral:sRNA from 1 species
AUUCUGCCCAUGCGGGGAAGGAUGAGAAGCUUCGACCAAGGUUCGACUCGAGCGCCAGCGAGAGAGCGUUGCCGCAGGCAACGACCCGAAGGGCGAAGCGCGCA